UGGGGAAUUUUGCACAGUGGGGGAAACCCUGAUGCAGCGACGCCGCGUGAUUUAGAAGGCCUUCGGGUUGUAAAAAUCUUUUCUAUGGGAGGAAAAUGACAGUACCAUAGGAAUAAGGACCGGCUAAUUACGUGCCAGCAGCCGCGGUAAUACGUAAGGUCCGAGCGUUGUCCGGAAUCAUUGGGCGUAAAGGGUACGUAGGCGGGUAAGCAAGUUAGAAGUGAAAUCCUAUAGCUCAACUAUAGUAAGCUUUUAAAACUGCUCAUCUUGAGGUAUGGAAGGGAAAGUGGAAUUCCUAGUGUAGCGGUGAAAUGCGCAGAUAUUAGGAGGAAUACCGGUGGCGAAGGCGACUUUCUGGCCAUAACCUGACGCUGAGGUACGAAAGCGUGGGUAGCAAACAGG
rnacentral:rRNA from 1 species